UUUAGAAUCCUGUAAGUAACGUUCAAUUACCGAUCCCGGAACAUCGGAAGCUACUAAAAGAAGUCUAAAGCAAAAAGCACAAGCGAGAGGACGAGGAACAAAAACGAAUCGUAAAACGACGGGAAGGGGUCGAAAAAGAUGUAAACAGCGUGAAACCGCGACACUCUCGAGAAACUAUGGAAAUUCGAAGGUCGUAAGGAGUCAGCAACAGCGAAAGCAGAUUGUUCGUACCGACACGUGGAACUUGGGUUCACCUCGAGAAAUGAGACAUUCCGACUAGAAUGUGACUUGAUCGCUGGAAAUUCUUCCUGAGGAUCUUAAGACAACGCGCGGCAUUCUCAAAUGGGAGAAAAUCUGUAGAGAGAAGAAAUAUCUGGAAAUUUACAUACGAUGGUUACGGAAAGUAUUUGUACAUCGCCAUCUUCAUUAUAGCAUUUAUUAAUUAAUUAAGUGUAAUUAUAAGUAUCUUUAUAUC